UUCUUUGCAGACUGUCUUUUGUAUGGUGUAAAAUCAGUGUUAUAACACUGAUUUUACAUCAUACAAAAGACAGUCUGCAAACAG
rnacentral:pre_miRNA from 1 species